rnacentral:tRNA from 1 species
GUGGUUGUGGCUCAGUGGAAGAGCACUCGCCUAGCUCAUGCGAGACCCUGGGUUCAAUCCUCAGCACCACA